UAACGGCUCCGGAAAACAAUUUCCUCAGCAUCCUUUUUUGUCGGUAAGGACUAUUGUACCAUCAAAACUUGGCCCAAUUUCUACAAGUAUAUAUACCCAUAUUCUUCUACCCUUUCAUAUCAGCAUUAUUAUCAAUCAUGGGAAAAACCACACAAACAAUGACAAAAGAGGAUGAUGAGGAAAUUGUUUUCCGGAGCCGUUACCCGUCUGUCCCCAUUCCCGACAAUCUCACGUUGAAGGAAUUCUUACUCAAGGUAUAAUGUUAGCGUGAUUCUCUCUGAUAUGACGACUAUUGGAUCAUUGAGAAGAGAAAUUAGUGUUGAAUAGGUGUUGGAUUUCAGCAUUUGCAAACAAUUGCAAUGGCACACACUAACAAAGCUGUUUAAUGAUGUAUUGAUGUUUCAGUAUUUUUUUAUUCCGUCAAUUUUUCCUUAUCUCCCUCUGUUUCCUAUCGGGAGAAUUCCUGGGUCGGUAUUAAGUGUUGCACUAAUGGUUGUCUUUAAUAUAUUAACCUUGGAUGAAGCGGUUAAAUCUAUGGAUCCUUUGUUUUUUUGUA